rnacentral:rRNA from 1 species
UGNUCUGUCACUGACGCUGAGGCUCGAAAGCGUGGGUAGCGANCAGGAUUAGAUACCCUGGUAGUNCACGCCGUAAACGAUGAGUGCUAGGUGUUAGGCCCUUUCCGGGGCUUAGUGCCGGAGCUAACGCAAUAAGCACUCCGCCUGGGGAGUACGACCGCAAGGUUGAAACUCAAAGGAAUUGACGGGGGCCCGCACAAGCGGUGGAGCAUGUGGUUUAAUUCGAAGCAACGCGAAGAACCUUACCAGGUCUUGACAUCCCGAUGCUAUUCUUAGAGAUAGGAAGUUACUUCGGUACAUCGGAGACAGGUGGUGCAUGGUUGUCGUCAGCUCGUGUCGUGAGAUGUUGGGUUAAGUCCCGCAACGAGCGCAACCCUUAUUGUUAGUUGCCAUCAUUAAGUUGGGCACUCUAGCGAGACUGCCGGUAAUAAACCGGAGGAAGGUGGGGAUGACGUCAAAUCAUCAUGCCCCUUAUGACCUGGGCUACACACGUGCUACAAUGGUCGGUACAACGAGUUGCGAGCCGGUGACGGCAAGCUAAUCUCUGAAAGCCGAUCUCAGUUCGGAUUGGAGGCUGCAACUCGCCUCCAUGAAGUCGGAAUCGCUAGUAAUCGCGGAUCAGCACGCCGCGGUGAAUACGUUCCCGGGCCUUGUACACACCGCCCGUCACACCACGAGAGUUUGUAACACCCGAAGUCGGUGAGGUAACCUUUUAGGGGCCANC